AUACACCCCAUAUGCUACGAAUUUCCACAAGUGCCAAGUAUGCAAGCAAUCUCUACAUCAAGCAGGAGCGCAUUAUUGCCAAUGUUGUGCUUAUAAACUAGGAAUAUGUGCUUUGUGUGGAAAGAAAAUCCUAGACACUUCAAACUAUAAACAAAGUUCAGUCUGAAAAGAAAAAGGAACACUAGUGAAAAAGUCUAGCGGAUGAUGUUGUUCACGUAAGAUGACAGAAAGAUGCUGAGGAGAAAAGGAGAAUUGGGACCUGUUUUGGUGUAGCUGGAACAGAAACUUGAUCCAUAGUUUAGUUGAAUUUGAUUUAUUUUUAGAUGUCUAAUGAUUUGUACCUGCAAGUAAUUCAAUGAUGUUAGCCUCG